ensembl:snRNA U6 U6 spliceosomal RNA
GUGCUCACUCCGGCAGCACAUAUACUAAAAUGGGAACACAGAAGAUUAGCAUGGCCUCUGCGCAAGGAUGACGCGUACAUUCAGGAAGGGUUCCAGAUUUUU